UACGUAGGGUGCGAGCGUUAAUCGGAAUUACUGGGCGUAAAGCGUGCGCAGGCGGUUUUGUAAGCCAGGUGUGAAAUCCCCGGGCUCAACCUGGGAAUGGCAUUUGGGACUGCAAGGCUGGAGUGCGGCAGAGGAGACUGGAAUUCCUGGUGUAGCAGUGAAAUGCGUAGAGAUUAGGAAGAACACCAGUGGCGAAGGCGACUUACUGGACUAUAACUGACGCUGAGGCAUGAAAGCGUGGGGAGCAAACAGG
rnacentral:rRNA from 1 species